rnacentral:rRNA from 1 species
UAUUUUAGAGAGUUUGAUCCUGGCUCAGGACGAACGCUGGCGGCGUGCCUAACACAUGCAAGUCGAACGAAACUUUUUGCUUCGGUAGAAAGUUUAGUGGCGGACGGGUGAGUAACGCGUGAGGAACCUGCCUUUCAGAGGGGGAUAAUGUCUGGAAACGGACACUAAUACCGCAUGACAUUUUCUGUUCACAUGGACAGAAAAUCAAAGGAGCAAUCUGCUGAAAGAUGGACUCGCGUCCGAUUAGCUAGAUGGUGAGAUAAUAGCCCACCAUGGCGACGAUCGGUAGCCGGACUGAGAGGUUGAACGGCCACAUUGGGACUGAGACACGGCCCAGACUCCUACGGGAGGCAGCAGUGGGGGAUAUUGCACAAUGGAGGAAACUCUGAUGCAGCAACGCCGCGUGAAGGAAGACGGUCUUCGGAUUGUAAACUUUUGUACCUAGGGACGAUAAUGACGGUACCUAGGCAGCAAGCUCCGGCUAACUACGUGCCAGCAGCCGCGGUAAUACGUAGGGAGCGAGCGUUGUCCGGAUUUACUGGGUGUAAAGGGUGCGUAGGCGGCCAAGCAAGUCAGCUGUGAAAACUAUGGGCUUAACCCAUAGCCUGCAAUUGAAACUGUUUGGCUUGAGUGAAGUAGAGGUAGGUGGAAUUCCCGGUGUAGCGGUGAAAUGCGUAGAGAUCGGGAGGAACACCAGUGGCGAAGGCGACCUACUGGGCUUUAACUGACGCUGAAGCACGAAAGCAUGGGUAGCAAACAGGAUUAGAUACCCUGGUAGUCCAUGCUGUAAACGAUGAUUACUAGGUGUGGGGGGUCUGACCCCUUCCGUGCCGGAGUUAACACAAUAAGUAAUCCACCUGGGGAGUACGACCGCAAGGUUGAAACUCAAAGGAAUUGACGGGGGCCCGCACAAGCAGUGGAGUAUGUGGUUUAAUUCGAAGCAACGCGAAGAACCUUACCAGGUCUUGACAUCCAACUAACGAAGCAGAGAUGCAUUAGGUGCCCUUCGGGGAAAGUUGAGACAGGUGGUGCAUGGUUGUCGUCAGCUCGUGUCGUGAGAUGUUGGGUUAAGUCCCGCAACGAGCGCAACCCUUACUGUUAGUUGCUACGCAAGAGCACUCUAGCAGGACUGCCGUUGACAAAACGGAGGAAGGUGGGGACGACGUCAAAUCAUCAUGCCCCUUAUGACCUGGGCUACACACGUACUACAAUGGCCGUUAACAGAGAGAAGCGAUACCGCGAGGUGGAGCGAACCUCAAAAAGCGGUCUCAGUUCGGAUUGCAGGCUGAAACCCGCCUGCAUGAAGUUGGAAUUGCUAGUAAUCGCGGAUCAUAAUGCCGCGGUGAAUACGUUCCCGGGCCUUGUACACACCGCCCGUCACACCAUGGGAGCCGGUAAUACCCGAAGUCAGUAGUCUAACCGCAAGGAGGACGCUGCCGAAGGUAGGAUUGGCGACUGGGGUGAAGUCGUAACAAGGUAGCCGUAUCAGAAGGUGCGGCUGGAUCACCUCCUUUCUAUGGA